rnacentral:lncRNA from 1 species
UCCUUCAGCUUUUAAUGAGUACCAGGAGACUGAGAUUGGUGUAUCCUUUAUUAUAUAUAGAGGCUGAGUCUCAGUUUCCUCAAGUCAUACCUACCCCCACAAGAAAAGGCUGCUGGCAAUGGGCUGGACAGGAGGACCACCUUACAUACAGUCCAGUGGCAGUGGGUUGGACAAGAUGACUGCACAGCCCAGUGGGGAAGGGCUGGGCAGAAGAACCACAAUUGUUUGCAAAAGGUGUGCAGUUUACAUAUUAUAGCAUUUUCACUUGCCACCCUCCCCUCAACAACCUCCACCUGGCAAUCUCCAUGCAACCCAAAACUCAAGGCCUUAAUCCCCUGUAUAGCCCGUGUUCCACGGCGCAGGACGAGGGCUCAGAUGUUCCUCAUUGAACGUAAGAAUGACUCUCUGGGUUGGCCACUCCAGGAUUCCCUAGGUUGGAACACACAUUCAGGUGCGGCUGGCAUGCAGGGUCAUUCUAAGGGUAUGCUCAAGCUAUUGCUAUCAGGUACAUUUACCAUAUAGUCUCUGAUCCCAAUUUUUUAAAAUCCUUAAGAAAAGUCUGAUUUUGCUCAGGAACCUACCUCUGGUAAGUCACCUGCAGGUUUUGAUAAAGUCAAGUGCACAUAACGGCUGCUCUAGGGUGUGGUGGAUGCUCACUUCCUGGGUGGCCCCACCCAACUAUUCCCCUUUCUCUCCAUCAAUAGUCCCAAGAUUUUGAUUUAAAAGAACCAUCUAGUUCAGCUAAGAUGAUUUUGGAUGCAGUAACAGAACCCUCAACUCCAACACAGGGCCCAAGAAACGUUAGACCUCAGGAUGCCUUGAUUCUGGGACUCAGUGGUGUCCUCAAGGACCUGUAUUUUCUUUUUCUACUGCCCAAACAG